rnacentral:rRNA from 1 species
AAUCAACGCUGGCGGCGUGCCUAACACAUGCAAGUCGAACGCGAAAGCCCCGCAAGGGGUUAGUAGAGUGGCAAACGGGUGAGUAACACGUGGGUGACCUGCCUUCGAGUGGGGGAUAACGUCCCGAAAGGGACGCUAAUACCGCAUAACAUCCUGCCUUUUAAGAGGUGGACAUCAAAGCUGGGGAUCGCAAGACCUAGCGCUUGAAGAGGGGCCCGCGCCUGAUUAGCUAGUUGGGGGGUAAUGGCUCACCAAGGCAACGAUCAGUAUCCGGCCUGAGAGGGCGGACGGACACACUGGGACUGAGACACGGCCCAGACUCCUACGGGAGGCAGCAGUGGGGAAUUGUUCGCAAUGGGCGCAAGCCUGACGACGCAACGCCGCGUGGAGGAUGAAGACCU